UACGUAGGGUGCGAGCGUUAAUCGGAAUUACUGGGCGUAAAGCGUGCGCAGGCGGUUGUGUAAGACAGAUGUGAAAUCCCCGGGCUCAACCUGGGAACUGCAUUUGUGACUGCACAGCUGGAGUGCGGCAGAGGGGGAUGGAAUUCCGCGUGUAGCAGUGAAAUGCGUAGAUAUGCGGAGGAACACCGAUGGCGAAGGCAAUCCCCUGGGCCUGCACUGACGCUCAUGCACGAAAGCCAGGGGAGCAAACGGG
rnacentral:rRNA from 1 species